AUUGAACGCUGUCGGCAGGCCUAACACAUGCACGUCGAGCGAGCGGCGGACGGGUGAGUAAUGUCUGGGAAACUGCCUGAUGGAGGGGGAUAACUACUGGAAACGGUAGCUAAUACCGCAUCCCAUCAGAUGUGCCCAGAGGUGCUUAGCUAGUAGGUGGGGUACUGGCUCACCUAGGCGACGAGCCCUAGCUGGUCUGCGAGGAUGACCAGCGACACUGGAAAUGAGAGAAGGGAGAGACUCCGACGGGAGGCAGAAGUGGGGAAUAUGGCACAAUGGGCGCAAGCCUGAUGCAGCUAUGCCGCGGGUGUGAAGAAGGCCUUCGGGUUGUAAAGCACUUUCAGCGGGGAGGCGUUACCCGCAGAAGAAGCACCGGCUAACUCCGUGCCAGCAGCCGCGGUAAUUC
rnacentral:rRNA from 1 species